GUGAGAUCUCAAGCAAAUCUCUGUUCUUGCCUGAUUCACUGGACUGGGAUUAGAUAACAAAUGACUUUCUAGAGUUCACUGUAACUGUCUCAAGAAAGAUGGACUUCUGAGAAAGACUGGAGGUGACGAGGCCAGUGAGGAGGCUACCCUGGUUGUGUAGCACAAAGAUGAUGACAUCGUGAAUUAAGGCAGUGUGAAUGGAGUGGGAAGGACAGAUGCCAGAAAUAAAGGGAUGGAACUCUUGUCCUCAGUCGCUGAUUACACGUGGAAGAUGAGCCAGAAGGGGAGCCUGGGGUGACUCCAUGCUUAAAUCUUGAAUGACUGAGUGCAUGGUAUUUGCUUUAUAUUGGGACUUUCAGAUAAAUAACAAGAGAACAAAGAUAAUCAUAAAAAACACAGGCAUCUUGAGCU